UGAGGAAUAUUGGUCAAUGGGCGGGAGCCUGAACCAGCCAAGUAGCGUGCAGGAUGACGGCCCUAUGGGUUGUAAACUGCUUUUGUAUGGGGAUAAAGCCAAUCACGUGUGAUUGUUUGCAGGUACCAUACGAAUAAGGACCGGCUAAUUCCGUGCCAGCAGCCGCGGUAAUACGGAAGGUCCGGGCGUUAUCCGGAUUUAUUGGGUUUAAAGGGAGCGUAGGCCGGAGAUUAAGUGUGUUGUGAAAUGUAGACGCUCAACGUCUGACUUGCAGCGCAUACUGGUUUCCUUGAGUACGCACAACGUUGGCGGAAUUCGUCGUGUAGCGGUGAAAUGCUUAGAUAUGACGAAGAACUCCGAUUGCUAAGGCAGCUGACGGGAGCGCAACUGACGCUUAAGCUCGAAGGUGCGGGUAUCAAACAGGAUUAGAUACCCUGGUAGUCCGCACAGUAAACGAUGGAUGCCCGCUGUUGGUACCUGGUAUCAGCGGCUAAGCGAAAGCAUUAAGCAUCCCACCUGGGGAGUACGCCGGCAACGGUG
rnacentral:rRNA from 1 species